rnacentral:rRNA from 1 species
GAUGAACGCUGGCGGCGUGCCUAAUACAUGCAAGUCGAGCGAACAGACGAGGAGCUUGCUCCUCUGACGUUAGCGGCGGACGGGUGAGUAACACGUGGAUAACCUACCUAUAAGACUGGGAUAACUUCGGGAAACCGGAGCUAAUACCGGAUAAUAUAUUGAACCGCAUGGUUCAAUAGUGAAAGACGGUUUUGCUGUCACUUAUAGAUGGAUCCGCGCCGCAUUAGCUAGUUGGUAAGGUAACGGCUUACCAAGGCAACGAUGCGUAGCCGACCUGAGAGGGUGAACGGCCACACUGGAACUGAGACACGGUCCAGACUCCUACGGGAGGCAGCAGUAGGGAAUCUUCCGCAAUGGGCGAAUGCCUGACGGAGCGACGCCGCGUGAGUGAUGAAGGUCUUCGGAUCGUAAAACUCUGUUAUUAGGGAAGAACAAAUGUGUAAGUAACUAUGCACGUCUUGACGGUACCUAAUCAGAAAGCCACGGCUAACUACGUG